UAUAAGACUGGGAUAACUUCGGGAAACCGGAGCUAAUGCCGGAUAACAUUUGGAACCGCAUGGUUCUAAAGUAAAAGAUGGUUUUGCUAUCACUUAUAGAUGGACCCGCGCCGUAUUAGCUAGUUGGUAAGGUAACGGCUUACCAAGGCAACGAUACGUAGCCGACCUGAGAGGGUGAUCGGCCACACUGGAACUGAGACACGGUCCAGACUCCUACGGGAGGCAGCAGUAGGGAAUCUUCCGCAAUGGACGAAAGUCUGACGGAGCAACGCCGCGUGAGUGAUGAAGGUUUUCGGAUCGUAAAACUCUGUUAUUAGGGAAGAACAAAUGUGUAAGUAACUGUGCACAUCUUGACGGUACCUAAUCAGAAAGCCACGGCUAACUACGUGCCAGCAGCCGCGGUAAUACGUAGGUGGCAAGCGUUAUCCGGAAUUAUUGGGCGUAAAGCGCGCGUAGGCGGUUUCUUAAGUCUGAUGUGAAAGCCCACGGCUCAACCGUGGAGGGUCAUUGGAAACUGGGAAACUUGAGUACAGAAGAGGAAAGUGGAAUUCCAUGUGUAGCGGUGAAAUGCGCAGAGAUAUGGAGGAACACCAGUGGCGAAGGCGACUUUCUGGUCUGUAACUGACGCUGAUGUGCGAAAGCGUGGGAAUCAAACAGGAUUAGAUACCCUGGUAGUCCACGCCGUGAACGAUGAGUGCUAAGUGUUAGGGGGUUUCCGCCCCUUAGUGCUGCAGCUAACGCAUUAAGCACUCCGCCUGGGGAGUACGACCGCAAGGUUGAAACUCAAG
rnacentral:rRNA from 1 species